GCCGGAGUGGCGGAACUGGCAGACGCCCGGGACUUAAAAUCCCGUGACCUGUAAAGGUCGUACCGGUUCAAGCCCGGUCUCCGGCACCA
rnacentral:tRNA from 1 species